rnacentral:rRNA from 1 species
ACCACACGAAGCUGGAAUCGCUAGUAAUCGCGAAUCAGCAUGUCGCGGUGAAUACGUUCCCGGGUCUUGUACACACCGCCCGUCACACCAUGGGAGUCAGCAACGCCCGAAGUCAGUGACCUAACCGAGAGGAAGGAGCUGCCGAAGGCGGGGCAGGUAACUGGGGUGAAGUCGUAACAAGGUACC